rnacentral:lncRNA from 1 species
AGAAUACAUGAUAUAUUAACAAUUGCUGACCGUGCAACAUAUCUUAUAUAUCUUUUAGAAUUAUAAUUUUAUUGAAAAUUAGUGUUUUUCUGCUCAUGUUAUAAUUAUAUCAUCUCAAAUACUUGUAACAACAAAACACGUGCAAUAUGGGUGCCUACUUACUAGCAUACAUGAAUGUUCACAUCAGAGAGAGUUGAUACCGGCAUAUCUAUUUAAUCAAUAUAUUCUAUUUUUGGCUAUUGUUUUUCUAUAGGGUUUUGUUCACAUGAACUCCAAGAUACCAGUUGUCCUAAAAAUCGAAUGAUGGUGAUUAAGGAUGACUAGGAUUUUGUCUAUACCUCAUCUUGACAAUCCAAUUAAUGGUUAAGAGCAAGCACCAAAUGGACCAGAUUUUGAUGGAAAUAUUGCAGAUAAGAAUUACAUGACCCUUACUGGAUAGGAAAAAUUUUGGCUGUAAUGAAUCACACCAAGUAUGAAGUUGUAGACUAAAAAGGCAGGAUAUGAUAGUGACAUA